UUCCUAUGAGAACCCUUCUUAUAAUGAGAACCUAUCUUUUAAUGAGAACUCACAUUUUCAACCCUUAGAUUUUAACUAACAGUCUAGAUUAAAUGCUAAUACCACAUCUUAUCGUUUGCUAUACCCAUAAAACAAUUAAAUCUUUUCUCUCUCCUACCCCUUUGUCUUCCCCAUAUUCUAAGAAGCUCUGGUUUUGUCUUCGUGUUAUCACCGCCGGCAAAUUCAUCAAACAACAAUUCUCUCACUGUCUCACAAAAGUAUGUUUCACACAUUUUUUUAUUUUUAUUUUUAUUUAUUUGUCUUAUGAAGAAGUAAUUUGUCUUAUUAUUGAUCAUAUUAUUUGCUCUGCUUCAUGAUCAUUAAUAUGUAAUUCAAAUGUGCAAAAUGUGCCACUUAUCUAGUCACCGCCGGCAAAUCAUAUUAAAAAGUAUGACUCUUGAAUUUCUUAAUAUUAUUUGCUCUACUACAUAUCUACUACACAUGUUGCUGCCAUUUAUAAACUAGGUUGAACUACAUGGCUCUACUCAUGCCUACAUGGUGUACUAUGUGUAGUUGUUCUUCACUCAGAUGUUGGCUUUAGUGCCUCUUUUGCUCUAAAUACUCUGUACAUGAUUCUUUAGGAAUGCUGACUUCUUGUAAUCUUCUCUUAAGUUUUUUCUUAUACCUCCUUUUUCUCUAAAUACUGCUUGUUUAUCUACGAAAUAAGUAAUCCUAAUAUGUUUAAGCAAUUAAGGUAGUGGCAUGUAUCAAUCAUAGGAGGUUGUUGCUCAAAAUGUCACACCACAAGGUUUUAAGACAACCUAUGUAGGAGUCGAACCUACAUCCCCUAUGCAUUUGCAUAGUGCUCUACCACUUGAGCUAAUAGGUUUUAACAAAUAUCCAAUAAAAGCAACCAAUUUUCUAUUAUACCCUGUCACUUGCCAAUGGUUUAGCAUUGGAAAUCAUGCAGCUAAUCAACAAAAAUCAAAUCCAAUGCAACAAGAUCAAAUAUAUAUGAUGUAGAUGUUGGCUUUGAUCAAGAAAAGCAACAUGUAUACUAGUACCCACUCAUCUACUACAAUAUACUGAUUUUUGAUCUAGAAAAGCAACCUGUAUACUAGUAUAGUAGUACCAACUAAUCCACUACCUAAAAAACAGUAUUAUCAAUCACCUCUUAAACUAGUGUCAAUUUGGCUUGCUUGAAGACGAUUAUACUAAGCAGGGGAUAGAUCUCACUAUUAUAUGAAAAAAAAACCAAUUUUCUAAAUCUUAAAGAACAUAGAGAGGUUGAGAAAUUAAGUUAACUACUGAAAUUAAAAUUAUGGUGCUACAAUAAACAAAAAUUAUGGAUUUGAAACAUACCUAUUUGAAAAAAAAACGACAUGAGAUCGCACUAUUACCUCAAUUUCUGCAUCAAAAAAAAAAGACCCUAACAUAGUAAAAUAAGAAUUGAGAGAAAUAUACUAUUUCAAGAAAAGAUCGACUGAUUCACAAAACCUAAAGGAUGAAGAUAAGUGAGAUUGAUUCACUGUCGAAUUUGUUGGAGAUGUAUCUGCAUCUGGAGCUACAAAUACCAAUAAACAAAAUGAAUUCAGAAAUUUAAAGAGAGAGUAGUAAAGGGAUAAGGGGAUUUUAAGGGGUAUGAGAGAGAAAAAAAAGAUUUUAGGUGUAUUAUGGGGUAUAUGGAACAUACUUUUGUGAGAGAAUUGUUGUUUGAUGAAUUUGCCGGCGGUGAUAACACGAAGACAAAAUCAAAGCUUCUUAGAAUAUGGGGAAGACAAAGGGGUAGGAGAGAGAAAAGAUUUAAUUGUUUUAUGGGUAUAGCAAACGAUAAGAUGUAGUAUUAGCAUUUAAUCUAGACUGUUAGUUAAAAUCUAAGGGUUGAAAAUGUGAGUUCUCAUUAAAAGAUAGGUUCUCAUUAUAAGAAGGGUUCUCACAGGAACUCCCCCCUAUAUAUAUAUAUAUAUAUAUAUAUAUAUAUAUAUAUUCUUUUAUCUUCUGAAACUCAGAAAUUUUCUCUCUCCUCUCUCCUUUCUCCUUCGUUUAUUCCAUAUCAAACUUUCCCUCUCCUCUUCUCCUCUCUCCUUUCUCCUUUCUCCUUCUAGGAAAAGAAAACUUGAUCAUCAGCAAAUCCAAGAGAAAUUUGCAGAAUUUUGAACCAUGAAAAACAAAAUUCGCUUGAAACUACUUGAGAAAACUUGCCGAUUUUCCAAUCACAAAUCAUGCGAGAACAAAAAUAUAACAAUCAAUCGAAAACGUAAAUUGAAGGAGCGAUGCAAGAACGCAAAUCGAAAAUUCAGAAAUCGAGAUGAAAAUUCGAGUAAGAUUUCCUCUGUUAAAUGAAAUAUUUUCAUUUAAAAGAUUUUGAUUGCACUGGACAAAAAUGAAGAGAUAUGUUUAUAUCAAUGAUGAUGAAUCCAUGCAUGAUUUUUUUUUGACAAUCACAUAUCGAACCAGAAAUAUACAAUUCUUAAUUUCUUGUAUUCUUAUUGAUAGUUAAUUUGCUUUUUCUUUAUCAAGCAUUUGUUGUUGCGAAAUUGAAUGUUAUUGCAAGUGUUGAUAAAUCGAGUUAUUGUUGUUUU